GUAACACCCUUAUGGGGCAGGACUUGCUUCAGUGGGGCUUUGGUGCUCCACUGAGUCUACCCCCUUAGUGUGUCUCU
rnacentral:pre_miRNA from 1 species